AAUCUCUAUGGAUGCUCUAUAGGCCUAAGCUUACUCUGUGUCCAGGAAACAACUCACCUCCUACCGGGACGUCGAGGCCUCCCCUACCUACCGGGACGUCGAGGCCUCCCCUACCUACCGGGACGUCGAGGCCUCCCCUACCUACCGGGACGUCGAGGCCCCCCUACCUACCGGGCGAGCGAGGCCUCCCCCCUACCUAACGGGACGUCGAGGCCUCCCCAACUACCGGACGUCGAGGCCCCCCUACCUACCGGGACCGACGAGGCUCCCCUACCUACCGGGACGUCGAGGCCUCCCCUACCUACCGGGACGUCGAGGCCUCCCCUACCUACCGGGACGUCGAGGCCCUCCCCUACCUACCGGGACGUCGAGGCCUCCCCUACCUACCGGGACUCGAGGCCUCCCUACCUACCGGGACGUCAAGGCCUCCUCUACCGGGACGUCAAGGCCUCCUCUACCGGACGUCAAGCCUCCUCUACCGGGACGUCAAGGCCUCCUCUACCGGGACGUCAAGGCCUCCUCUACCGGGACGUCAAGGCCUCCUCUACCAGGACGUUAAGGCCUCCUCUACCAGGACGUUAAGGCCUCCUCUACCAGGACGUUAAGGCUCCUCUACCAGGCAGAAGUUAGGCCUCCCUACCAGGACGUUAAGGCCUCCUCUACCAGGACGUUAAGGCCGCACCCACCUCUGCUACCAGGACGUGUGGCUGCAUCCUCUUUCUGAUUUCAUGAUGCGGACGAUGGCCGCCUCGAUCUCAUGCUUCCUGUCGUCAUCCACCUUCCUGCCGCGCGUCUCCUUCCUCUCUGGGUCCGACUCGCCCUGGCUAGCAGCGACUGGAGGAGAGAGACCGCAACCUUAGCACAGCGGAGGGAGGGCUGGCAACCCAGCGGAGGGGGGCUGGGGGGGCCCGCAACCUCAGCACAAGGCCACGUUCAGUAGCCGAACGUUGCAGAUAGAAAUACCACAAAUAAGCCCGCCAAUUAUUUUGCAAAACACGACAUGUCAGAGAAGCAUGUUUGUUCUAAAUAGCAUAUCUCUAUUUGCGCAUCCUUCCAGACCAGAAGACCACUGUGACAUGGGUCCUUUAAUCAUUUAGAAUAACAGAGACACACACCCGUCUGUAUUUUGACUCUGUGCACUUGGAGGUAAACUGAUCGUUGACUGUAAACACUGGCCGUUCUCGAUCUCCUUGGACUUGGGCUCCUUGGGAGAACGCGCUGGGGGGCUUCCGCAGGCCAGCGACUGCAGCGCUCGCACCAGCUCCCUCUCCGGGAUGUCGUUCUCCUGCUGGAUCUCCUACAGGUGGGGACGGAGUGGAAGAGAGGGUAAAGGAGGAGCAGAGGAGUGAAGAGGAAGUGGAGCGAAAAAAUGUGGGGAAGGAGGAGGAAGAAGAUUUGUUUUCUUUCAGCUUGCCAUAUUUAUCUGUGAAUUCUAACACUUUGAUGCGAUGGAGACUGACCUGUAUCUGGCUCUUACCUCAAACCGUGGACUUUUCUCUGUGUUGAGAGUAGGAGGAGGGUCAUCUGGAAGGUGGAGACCUGCAGUAUGUGCUUCCUGGUGUUAGAGCCCGUCACCUGGGCUCCUCCCACUCCCACCUCCGAACCAUCCUCCUGGAGAGACGGAGAGAGACUGUGACUGACCCAACUUGACUAUGUAAGACUCAGUGAGCAUAGCCUUGCUAUUGAGAAAGGGCCGUAG
rnacentral:lncRNA from 1 species